rnacentral:rRNA from 1 species
UACGUAGGUGGCAAGCGUUGUCCGGAUUUACUGGGCGUAAAGAGCGCGCAGGCGGUCGUUCAAGUCGCGUGUGAAAGCCCCCGGCUCAACUGGGGAGGGUCACGCGAUACUGAUCGACUCGAAGGCAGGAGAGGGUAGUGGAAUUCCCGGUGUAGUGGUGAAAUGCGUAGAUAUCGGGAGGAACACCAGUGGCGAAGGCGGCCAACUGGACGAGUACUGACGCUGAGACACGAAAGCGUGGGGAGCAAACAGG